rnacentral:ncRNA from 1 species
GCGAAGCAUAGAACUUAAGCCCCAGUAAACGGCGGCCGUAACUAUAACGGUCCUAAGGUAGCGAAAUUCCUUGUCGGGUAAGUUCCGACCCGCACGAAAGGUGUAACGAUUUGGGCACUGUCUCAACAAAGGAUCCGGUGAAAUUGAAGUAAUGGUAAAGAUGCCAUUUACCCGCGACAGGACGGAAAGACCCCAUGGAGCUUUACUGUAGGCUGACAUUGGAUUUCGGUAGUACAUGUACAGAAUAGGUGGGAGGCAAAGAUCCUGGUACGCCAGUAUCAGAGGAGCCGAAAAGUGGGAUACCACUCCUGUAGUGCUGGAAUUCUAACCUUGAGCCGUAAACCGGUUUAGGGACACUGUCAGUUGGGCAGUUUGACUGGGGCGGUCGCCUCCCAAACAGUAACGGAGGCGUUCAAAGGUUCCCUCAGCACGGACGGAAAUCGUGCAAAGAGUACAAAGGCAGAAGGGAGCUUAACUGCGAGAUAAACAGAUCGAGCAGAUGAGAAAUCAGGACUUAGUGAUCCGGUGGUACCACGUGGAAGGGCCAUCGCUCAACGGAUAAAAGCUACCCUGGGGAUAACAGGCUUAUCUCCCCCAAGAGUUCAUAUCGACGGGGAGGUUUGGCACCUCGAUGUCGGCUCGUCUCAUCCUGGGGCUGAAGUAGGUCCCAAGGGUUGGGCUGUUCGCCCAUUAAAGAGGCACGCGAGCUGGGUUCAGAACGUCGCGAGACAGUUCGGUCCCUAUCCGUCGUGGGCGUAGGAAAUUUGAAAGGAGCUGUCCUUAGUACGAGAGGACCGGGAUGGACAAACCAAUGGUUUAUGAGUUGUAACGCCAGUUGCAUAGCUCAGUAGCUACGUUUGGAAAGGAUAAGAGCUGAAAGCAUCUAAGCACGAAGCCCCCCUUAAGAUAAGAUUUCCUUUAAGUAAGACACCUUGAAGACCACAAGGUAGAUAGGCAGUAAGUGUAAGAGUAGUAAUACUUUGAGCCUAACUGUACUAAUAUGUCGAAAACUUGAUCAA